rnacentral:rRNA from 1 species
AUACGUAGGUGGCAAGCGUUGUCCGGAAUUAUUGGGCGUAAAGCGCGAGCAGGCGGUACUUUUAGUCUGAUGUGAAAGUCCACGGGUACACAGUGGAGGGGCAUUGGUAACUGGAGGGCUUGAGUGCAGAAGAGGAAAGGGGAAAUCCAAGUGUAACGGUGAAAUGCGUAGAGAUUUGGAGGAACACCAGUGGCGAAGGCGACUUUCUGGUCUGUAACUGACGCUGAGGCGCGAAAGCGUGGGGAGCAAACAGGAUUAGAUACCCUGGUAGUCCACGCCGUAAACGAUGAGUGCUAAGUGUUAGGGGGUUUCCGCCCCUUAGUGCUGCAGCUAACGCAUUAAGCACUCCGCCUGGGGAGUACGGUCGCAAGACUGAAACUCAAAGGAAUUGGCGGGG